rnacentral:rRNA from 1 species
UACGGAGGGUGCUAGCGUUGUUCGGAAUCACUGGGCGUAAAGCGCGUGUAGGCGGUCCGUUAAGUCUGAUGUGAAAGCCCGGGGCUCAACUCCGGAAUUGCCUUUAAGACUGCAUCGCUAGAAUUGUGGAGAGGUAAGUGGAAUUCCGAGUGUAGAGGUGAAAUUCGUAGAUAUUCGGAAGAACACCAGUGGCGAAGGCGACUUACUGGACACAUAUUGACGCUGAGGUGCGAAAGCGUGGGGAGCAAACAGG